GGUCCUCCUGACUAGCUCACCCGGUAGAGCAUCAUGGCGUUAACGUUGCCGGGGUCAGGGGUUUCGAUUCCCGCUGGGACCA